GGCAAGAGAUGGUGCAUGUGCAAAGAUCUUCUCUAAAUCCUCAGGGACAUGUUACAAAUGGGGAUGUGUGACUCUGCAGAGCAGUAUCCCAGGUGGCAUCUGCUGUGGCAGAUUCAGGCUGUGAUACAGAUAAUUUGAUCUGUUUUUUCAGAAGAGGCAAAGGGUAAGGAGGAGGCUCUGUGUUUGGUGAAGGUGCUCCUGAAAAUGGCUAUCCAGUGGACAUGGGAUAGUGGAGCAGGUGACUGUUCUUCCAGUGGAUGUCCUCCCUCAGUCUGUGGGAAGGUUAUCCCACAGAAGGAACUGGAAAAUUUGGUGAUGCAGAUUGAGUUAUCCAC